GAUGAACGCUGGCGGCGUGCUUAAUACAUGCAAGUCGAGCGAGAAACUACAUGCAGACACUUCGGUAGAAGCGAGUAGCGGAAAGCGGCGGACGGGUGAGUAACGCGUAGGCAACCUGCCCUUCACAGAGGUAUAGCCUCGGGAAACCGGGAUUAAAACCGCAUAAAAUCAUAGGUUCGCAUGAACCAAAGGUCAAAGAUUUAUCGGUGAAGGAUGGGCCUGCGUCUGAUUAGCUGGUUGGUAGGGUAAAAGCCUACCAAGGCGACGAUCAGUAGCCGACCUGAGAGGGUGAUCGGCCACAUUGGAACUGAGACACGGUCCAAACUCCUACGGGAGGCAGCAGUGGGGGAUAUUGCACAAUGGGGGAAACCCUGAUGCAGCAACGCCGCGUGAGGUAUGAAGGCCUUUGGGUUGUAAGCCUCUGUCCUAGGGGAAGAAAAAAUGACGGUACCCGAGGAGGAAGCCCGGCU
rnacentral:rRNA from 1 species